CCACCCAGGUCUGUCACGCUGUCAUGUGCCUGCUGGGAGCACAAUCUGAUAUUGCUUACAUGCACAGCCUGUGAUAUGAUCUGUUCAGAGCUAUUCUGCAUAUUCUAUUCAUGUUUAAGGUGUAAUUAUAUUAUGAAUGCCUUACAUAAAGAGAGUGCAGCGCUGGCUGUGUGAGCUGGAUGUGUUCUCCACCUGAGCACUCCCUCAGUCUUCCCUGGACCUGCCACAUUCUGAACACGGAGGAACACGGAUUUCUCUGUCCAAAGGCCAGCUUUGCAGACACUGUGUAUGUUUAAUAAAGUGCAUUCACUGAUUUUUCACUUCACUGUGUGAAGACACUACACAAGGCUGAAUGCUGAGUUUCAUAGACAUAUACUGCUAAAAUUGCCUUGCCUAUUAUAAAGAUAAAAAUAUCUUUUUGUUCAAAUGUUCUGCUUGCUUCUUUACAAAUGAAGGAGUUAAAUACUGAAAGGCAGGUGGAUGCUGUAACUACUUUAGAAAAAGAUGAAUAGGGCUGAUGGCUAAAGCUACAGGGAAUCUAUUGAAGGUCCAGAUGCAGACAUGGCUCUUACUCUACACACAGUUCAAAGUGGGGUGAAGCUGCCUGGUUAAUUGGCUAUGAAAUAACUAACCUCUGGGAGAAAAUUGCCCUUGUUAGUUAAUUGCUUGUGUUCAGGGUAACAUGUAGCCACCUGGCUGAUUAGUGCCCUCACCUAUAUUUACACCCACCCGUGCUUAAAUGCAGGCAGCAUUGUCAGGCUGGCUGUGUGCAUUCAUCUAGUGGCCCUCGUGGAUUAAAGAAAAUAUGACCAUCAAGGGAGUCUUGCUUCCUGGUGGUUUUGAUGCCUGCUUCACAGCUUUUGGCUUGUGAGGUGCUGCGACAGGGAGGCUGAUCUCCAGCCCCAUAAACCUUCGAAGCUAACCUUGCAGCUGCAUCCUGCCAGGCUCUCCC